rnacentral:rRNA from 2 species
GAGUAAUGUCUGGGAAACUGCCUGAUGGAGGGGGAUAACUACUGGAAACGGUGGCUAAUACCGCAUAACGUCGCAAGACCAAAGAGGGGGACCUUCGGGCCUCUUGCCAUCAGAUGUGCCCAGAUGGGAUUAGCUUGUUGGUGAGGUAACGGCUCACCAAGGCGACGAUCCCUAGCUGGUCUGAGAGGAUGACCAGCCACACUGGAACUGAGACACGGUCCAGACUCCUACGGGAGGCAGCAGUGGGGAAUAUUGCACAAUGGGCGCAAGCCUGAUGCAGCCAUGCCGCGUGUAUGAAGAAGGCCUUCGGGUUGUAAAGUACUUUCAGCGGGGAGGAAGGUGUUGUGGUUAAUAACCACAGCAAUUGACGUUACCCGCAGAAGAAGCACCGGCUAACUCCGUGCCAGCAGCCGCGGUAAUACGGAGGGUGCAAGCGUUAAUCGGAAUUACUGGGCGUAAAGCGCACGCAGGCGGUCUGUCAAGUCGGAUGUGAAAUCCCCGGGCUCAACCUGGGAACUGCAUUCGAAACUGGCAGGCUUGAGUCUUGUAGAGGGGGGUAGAAUUCCAGGUGUAGCGGUGAAAUGCGUAGAGAUCUGGAGGAAUACCGGUGGCGAAGGCGGCCCCCUGGACAAAGACUGACGCUCAGGUGCGAAAGCGUGGGGAGCAAACAGGAUUAGAUACCCUGGUAGUCCACGCCGUAAACGAUGUCUACUUGGAGGUUGUGCCCUUGAGGCGUGGCUUCCGGAGCUAACGCGUUAAGUAGACCGCCUGGGGAGUACGGCCGCAAGGUUAAAACUCAAAUGAAUUGACGGGGGCCCGCACAAGCGGUGGAGCAUGUGGUUUAAUUCGAUGCAACGCGAAGAACCUUACCUGGUCUUGACAUCCACAGAACUUUCCAGAGAUGGAUUGGUGCCUUCGGGAACUGUGAGACAGGUGCUGCAUGGCUGUCGUCAGCUCGUGUUGUGAAAUGUUGGGUUAAGUCCCGCAACGAGCGCAACCCUUAUCCUUUGUUGCCAGCGGUUAGGCCGGGAACUCAAAGGAGACUGCCAGUGAUAAACUGGAGGAAGGUGGGGAUGACGUCAAGUCAUCAUGGCCCUUACGACCAGGGCUACACACGUGCUACAAUGGCGCAUACAAAGAGAAGCGACCUCGCGAGAGCAAGCGGACCUCAUAAAGUGCGUCGUAGUCCGGAUUGGAGUCUGCAACUCGACUCCAUGAAGUCGGAAUCGCUAGUAAUCGUGGAUCAGAAUGCCACGGUGAAUACGUUCCCGGGCCUUGUACACACCGCCCGUCACACCAUGGGAGUGGGUUGCAAAAGAAGUAGGUAGCUUAACCUUCGGGAGGGCGCUUACCACUUUGUGAUUCAUGACUGGGGUGAAGUCGUAACAAGGUAACCGUAGGGGAACCUGCGGUUGGA